rfam:Zootermopsis nevadensis contig19332, whole genome shotgun sequence.
GCCACGGGUGUCUAGCGGUUAGAACGCUGGCCUUGUAAUCCUGGGGUCUCGGGUUCGAUUCCCGGCGGUGCCC